GCCGUUCCCCUCCCCGGCCCGGAGCCGCGCCAAGCGGAGUCCGAGAGUGAGGUCAGUGGUUAGAGCUCCCACUCAAACUGAUGAAUUCCUGUCAGUAGUUUUGGAACAGGCCUUCCUCUGGUUUGUACUUCAAGACAAAGGACACUUAAGAGGGACAAUUGCAAAAGCUUCUCGCCCAGCCAGAUGGACAACAUAAUUUCCUAGGACUCGACAAUGAGCACUGGGUUACCCCUAACCUUAAACCUUGAAUGCCUACUUGGAGACUGCAGCAGGGCACAUUUGACCAUGAAAAAUGAUCUCCAAUCAUCUGGGUGGUCUUCCUCUUCAGCUAAACCCCAGACAUGGUGAGAAGAAGAAGAAGGACCCUCCCUACGCGAUCAGACUCAUCCAGACCAGUCAUCCUGGCCUGUUUUGGCAAGGAUGAUCAAAUCACUGUCUUCUGCUCACGCCACCCCUGAGUCACCACCACCUCCAGGACUGCCAUCCUGAAUGUGUGCAGGUUGUGACAUGUCAAGGGCAUCUGGAAUGCAAGUGGAAAUCCCUCCCAGGCUCCGCUCCACACAGUGUGUGUUGGUGUGUGGCUGUGUCUACCCACAGGAUGCGGCUCCUUUUUCUAAUUUGCACCGCGGGAUGCCGAGCGGCUGGCGCUGGGUCUAACGGUCUCACCCCACCCCCCACUUUAGCCCUAUCCGGGUUAUAUUCCUUACUCCAGAAGAAUCCUUUAUUUUUCUGAAGAACAGAAUUAAGUUUACUGUGAAAGAUGAAAUCUUGGACCAAAUGAAAGUGAAUUUUAUAGGUAAACCUCAAAAUAUUCCCAUGUAUGUGAACAAAGUAUGUAUGUAUUAGGGUUGGUGGGAAAGUCGUGAUGUAUUAUUCUGUAUUUUUCUAUGCAAAAAUGUGUUACUACUUUUCCAAUGACCCAGUUAUGCAUAUGGAUAUAUAUUCAUGUAUACAUACAUAUAUUUCUAUGAAUCUUAUUGUAGGACAACUCAGAUUCGAUAAUUGUUUAAAAUGCAGCUAUCUUGGGUUUUUUAUUUGUUUGUUUAUUUUUUUAUUUUUUGGAGAGGUUUUUGCUAUAGGGUACAUAUGCU